GUGUUCCACGCUGUCGGUUCACCGCCUGUCGGUGUUAACUGGCAUGUUCUGUGGAACGUCCUGCCGGUGGCGGUCCGGGCUCUCGUUCUGCGUAAGGGUCUCCCGAAGCAGGGCGAAAAGUUUCGGCCGCCGGUUCAAUCCCGCCACGGUGCUCUUCACCGAGUGUCGAGGUGGGCCGGCACUUUUACUUUGAACAAAUUAGAGUGCUUAAAGCAGGCGGUUUCCGCCUGAAUACUGUGUGCAUGGAAUAAUGGAAUAGGACCUCGGUUCUAUUUUGUUGGUUUUCAGAACCCGAGGUAAUGAUUAAUAGGGACAGGCGGGGGCAUUCGUAUUGCGACGUUAGAGGUGAAAUUCUUGGAUCGUCGCAAGACGAACCUAAGCGAAAGCAUUUGCCAAGUAUGUUCUCGUUAAUCAAGAACGAAAGUUAGAGGUUCGAAGGCGAUCAGAUACCGCCCUAGUUCUAACCAUAAACGAUGCCAGCCAGCGAUCCGCCGAAGUUCCUCCGAUGACUCGGCGGGCAGCUUCCGGGAAACCAAAGCUUUUGGGUUCCGGGGGAAGUAUGGUUGCAAAGCUGAAACUUAAAGGAAUUGACGGAAGGGCACCACCAGGAGUGGAGCCUGCGGCUUAAUUUGACUCAACACGGGAAACCUCACCAGGCCCGGACACCGGAAGGAUUGACAGAUUGAGAGCUCUUUCUUGAUUCGGUGGGUGGUGGUGCAUGGCCGUUCUUAGUUGGUGGAGCGAUUUGUCUGGUUAAUUCCGAUAACGAACGAGACUCUAGCCUGUUAACUAGGCGAUUUCCGGUACCCACAAUAGUGUUACCGGCGAUUCAAUUUCUUCUUAGAGGGACAGGCGGCUUCUAGCCGCACGAGACUGAGCAAUAACAGGUCUGUAAUGCCCUUAGAUGUUCUGGGCCGCACGCGCGCUACACUGAAGGAAUCAGCGUGUCUUCCCUGGCCGACAGGCCCGGGUAACCCGUUGAACCUCCUUCGUGCUAGGGAUUGGGGCUUGCAAUUGUUCCCCAUGAACGAGGAAUUCCCAGUAAGCGCGAGUCAUAAGCUCGCGUUGAUUACGUCCCUGCCCUUUGUACACACCGCCCGUCGCUACUACCGAUUGAAUGAUUUAGUGAGGUCUUCGGACUGGUGCGCGGCUGUCGGUCUCCGGCAGCCGAUGUUGCCGGGAAGAUGACCAAACUUGAUCAUUUAGAGGAAGUAAAAGU
rnacentral:rRNA from 1 species